GAGCCUCCCUAGUACGUGGGACUACAGGUGUCUGCCACCUCGCCCAGCGAAUUUUUUUUUUUUUUUUAAGUAGAGACAGGGUUUCACCAUGUUGGCCAGGCUGGUCUCUGUGGGGUCAGCCCUGCUAGCGUCGUGGGGUGUCCCCUAUCGCUGUGCUGAGGUGCAGGAUCCGAGGAAUAAAGAGACAAGACACUGAAGGACUGGAAAAGACAGCUAGGCUGGCGGGAGGGGGUGGGAAGUCAUGCCACCUAUGAGCGGAGACAGGCGAGGGCCCCCAAGAGUGUCUGUAUUUAUUGGGUAUAGGUUAAGGGGCAGGGUAGUGAGUGAGGACAUCUUAAGAACAGUGAUAGGGUCAAGACAGUCACGUGUGCAAUAAGCAAAGGGUCCUCACCUAUUAGGUCACUGAGGCAAGGAGGUUGGCCGUGCAUAGUGAAGAGGGUGCAGUGUGCAAUAUCUCUUAUCUAGGGGCAGGCUACUUUUAAGGAAUUCUAUAGAAGGAUGCUUUUGAGUCAGCACAGUAGCCGAAGAGCUGACAGGGUAUACAGCCACCUGCUGGCAGCUUCCAGUGAUUUCUAUAGGAGGAUGCUUUGAGUUAGUACCUAGCAACAGAGCUGACAAGGUGUACAGCCACUUAGCUGCGGUUAUACUAGAGGGAUUUUAAGCCCUCAGACACCUAUGGGCUUGCUAACUUGAGGCCAGCUUUCCACAAGAACUGGAUGCAAGGUCCUGCAACUCCUUUUCAGGAGGAGUGACUCUUGCUCCAAGCUUGCCAUACAGCGAAUAUCUUUACAAUACAGAACGCUGCCGCCUGGGCCGGCCUGCCGUGUAGCACGUGCCUUUUCAGGCAGGGUCACUACCAUCUGGGCCAUAGAUUCUUGUCCUGGUAUAACUGUUUCUCCCUUAAAUUGUGCUCUGCACCAUAUCUGUCCUAGACAUUCCUCUGACUACUACUGUGUAUCUCCCUGACGAUAUUUUGUUACCUUUCAGGCAUCACUCUAUUUACUUACUUUCCUUGGGUUAGUUUCUCUGUCAGUCCUGUCCCGUGCCUGCCAUUCUUUUCCGGUGUCUGUUUUCUUGUAAUUUGGGUCAUUUUGGGUGGCACUCUUCUUGUUAGUAUUAACCACAGCCUGUCUGCAGUCACUGGGAUUUUUUUCUCUUCAUCCUCCCCUCAGCUGUCCCCUCGCAUAUCUUUGACAUGUGCGCCCUGGCACCCAUGUUUCCAGAAUUGUAAAAACUCUGCCCCUCAACAGCCCCACUGUCAGUCCCAGGACAUUCAUCUUCCACAUUUCUCCCACCCUGGUGUUGUGAACAACGCUAGGCUUCCUGACAUUUAGACGUGAAGCUCAUGAAAUGUCGUCAGUCUGAGCUGUGCUUUAAUAUGAAACAUACACCAUCUUUCAAAGACUUUGUACCAAAAUGCAAAAUAUGUUGUCAACAAUUGUAUUAUUUUACCUACAUGUUGAAAUUGUAUUUUGGAAAUACUGGACCAAAUAAAAUAUGUCAAUAAAAUUAAUCUCUUUCUUUUUA